rnacentral:rRNA from 1 species
AUACGUAGGGGGCGGGCGUUGUCCGGAAUGAUUGGGCGUAAAGGGCGCGUAGGCGGCCUGUUAAGUCUGGAGUGAAAGUCCUGUUUUCAAGAUGGGAAUUGCUUUGGAUACUGAUGGGCUUGAGUGCAGGAGAGGUUAUCGGAAUUCCCGGUGUAGCGGUGAAAUGCGUAGAGAUCGGGAGGAACACCAGUGGCGAAGGCGGGUAACUGGACUGCAACUGACGCUGAGGCGCGAAAGUGUGGGGAGCAAACAGGAUUAGAUACCCUGGUAGUCCACACUGUAAACGAUGAAUGCUAGGUGUAAGAGGUAUCGACCCCUUUUGUGCCGGAGUUAACACAAUAAGCAUUCCGCCUGGGGAGUACGGCCGCAAGGUUGAAACUCAAAUGAAUUGACGGGG